UUCAUUCUGACCCGAAACGGCUUCGAUACACGUUGUCUACAAUGCGUGAAGAUAUCAACUGUGGACAUGAAAGAUGUUUCAAUAUACGUUAAAUGCUGAAAAUAUCGGUCUCCUUGCAGAGGUUGGCAGGGGAGACACUGCAUGGGGUUGACGCUGUAACCGGCUGUAAGGAACACGGUUCUCUUUCCAUAGUUCGCACGGUUAUCUGAAAUCAAACUAUGUUCAACUCGUGCAAGUUCGUCGCGAGACCCCCGAACUUUAAUUAACUACCUUGUGGGGACAUAGGGAAAUAUAUUUUAAUAAAAUGUUUUGAAGGAUC